UUUUUUUUUUUUGGUGAUUUUCAGGUCUGUCACCUGUUACAUUGUAAAAAUCCAUAAAGAGCGAGAAAGAGGGUGAAAGUGUGCGAGAGAGAAAAAGAACAAGCGUGUGCGAGAAGUUAGCGAGCGCGCAAGAGACAAUGAAAGUGUAUGUGUGUGUGUGUGUGUGUGUGUGUUGAUGAUAAUCAGUUCCACAUGACUAAUUUUUUUUCCUUUAGCAGGUGAGCGUAGGUAGCUGUGGCAGACCUUCAGCUUCCUGUGUCUAACAAAAAAACAAAAAAAAAAAGAAAAGAAAAAAGGCUCUCCUUAUAAAUACUCCACAUUCUAAAACUGAAGACAGAGUCCUUCUCUAAUGAAGCUGCUGUGUGUAUUUAUGAAUAGUAAUUAAUAAAAAGUGCUUGGAUGGUUUACCAUAACUACUGCAUGAGGUUAUUUGCAGUGUGCAUGAUUUUUAAUGACCUUGUCAUUAAAAUGGCAAAAAUCCCAAAGCGUACUUUAAUUUUUUAAUUUUUUUUUUACUUUUUUUUAAAACUUUUUUUUUUUUUUUUUUUUUUUUUUUUUUUUUUUUUUAAAAAGAGUUACUUGAACUGAAAACAAAAGUGUUUUGAGUCUAUGAAAUAUUAUAGAAUCAGAAUUUAUUUAAAUAUUUUAUAAAAAAGGAAAUAAAAGCAUAAGCGUACAUUUGGAAAUCUGCAGUUGCUUCAUAAGAAAGCAACGCACCUUUCCGUCUCCGCUCCAACCCGCCCUCUGCUUUCAGGUGCCCCGUGAUAUCCUGAUACCCAGUGCUGCAAAAAAAAAAAAACUAAGGAAAAAAAACCACGGGAAAAAUAUACAAGUUAAUACAAUAGCCUUUCAUUUUUUAUUUUGUUUUGGUUUUUUUGUUGUUCAAGAACUAAAAAAAAUCUAUACAGGCGAAAAUAUAAUCUGCCUCCCGUUGGGUUUUUUUGUUUUGGGGGGAGUGGGGGGUGUCUUUUUUUUUUAUUUUUAUUUUUUAUUUUGUUUUGUUUUUUUGGUUUAAAAAAGACGUUGAUGUUUUCGUGAAAACUGUGUAAUCACCAGAUGUACUUUCUAACUUUUGCACCUGUACAGAACAGUUAGCUUCUCCAUGCUUCAUCUUGCUCUGCUUCUUCCAAUAGCACCUGCUGCUCCCUGAACGAAUCCUCUGAGCCGGAGUGCAGAUAGACGAUCA
ensembl:lncRNA